rnacentral:lncRNA from 1 species
AAAAUCAUAUUAACAUAAACUGUAUAUAUCAAAAAUAAAAUCCAGUUUGAAACUAUACAUUUAUAUAAAUUAUACAAGGACAAACUUUAAAUGUUUGAAAUGUAUAUAUGAAAAAAAAAUAAGAUCUAGUUUGUUGAACUAUACAUUUAUCUAAAUUCACUCCACACUUUAAGCACAGAAUCAAUACCACCGAACCGUUUUCAGUAUAGUUGAAUCCUUAGUUAGCCUUCCACCAUUGAUCCCAAAUGUUUACAUGGCAACCCUACACAUAUAAAUAAGAUAAUAAGAAAUGAGAGACUGCAAAAUGUUAUAAACAGUCAACGCAUCCAAAUAGGGAGAUGGAGAUGGGAAAAAAAAAAUAAGGGCAAAAAAUCUUGCCUUAGUCAUAUUGAUACCAUGCAAAUUUAUCACAAUUGUACAGUACAUCAACCACAACAAAUUGACCAAAUCACAAAGGACCUUCACUUUUACUUUUUUUUACAGGGAAAGAUAAUCAAAUUAAAUAUAGAUUUACUUGCAUGCUAGGCUAAUGACUAAACAAAAUCAUUCUUGGAAAGUCAUAUUAGCCACAUUCGACAUUACCAAUCUGAAUAGGCACCUUAAUAUCAUUCUAUUUCGGAUUAAUCUUUUUCACUUGUCCUUUUUAUAACCCAAACUGAACCCAAAUGGUUUCAAAUUUAUAACCCAAACUGAACCCAUAUAUCUGAAUUAAAUUCAGUUUGGGUUACAAAUUCGGUUUACAAUAAUUUCAAAAAAUACAAUCCAAUUUUUUUCCCCAGAAAAUCACAAAACCUAAAAUGAAAAAGAACUAAAAAUUAAAAUCCCUCUACAUUAUUCAAUUGUCUUCAACAAUCAAUUGCCUUCAACAAUAGCUAACUAAACUACUUAUAACAGCCUUCAACAACAAAAAAUCUUCAGAUUACUAUUAUUACAAACACACCACAAUCAAUUAUAAAACACCCAUGAAAAGAGUGACGAUGAUGACCAAGAUCUGUGUGAGACAAGAAGUGAGAGAUUAUGAUGGAAGAUAUGAGUCGGAUCAUCCAAAGUGUUCAACUACUUCACCACUUGAAGGACGGUAAAGCGAGAUGUAGCUGGUUCGCAGAGGCAACAAGCUUGACAGUGGCACGACGAACAGUGGAAGAAGACAGUUGCCAUUGAGUUUGGGAAUGAGGGGCUAAGUUUGAGAUAAAUGAAGGGGAGAUAAGUUUGAAUAAAAGAGGAUUCACAGGCUGAGUCCAAGUGUGAGAGAGGAGUUUGAGAAAAAUUAGGAUAGAGAUUUGGGGGAGAAGAUUAGGGGUUUCAAAUAAACUAACCCAUUCUUACAAUCACACAGAAACUGAGAGAAAGCGAGAUGGAAACCCCAUUCAGAUUUUGAAAGCCAAAACAUAAUUUUAAAAUAAUCUACAAUUAGUCCAGCAUGUUGUCCUUAACUCUUGAACAUGCUCUUCCUUCUCAACUACUUUUUUUUUUUUUUUUUAUCCCAAUGAUAAAUGAAUUUCAAAAUAAUCUAUAAUUAGUCCAGCAUGUUGUCCUUAACUCUUGAACAUGCUCUUCCUUCUCAACUACUUUUUUUUUUUUUUUAUCCCAAUGAUAAAUGAAUUUCAUCUCCUCUGUUUCCCUUUAGAACAAAUGAGAGCGACAUUUCAUAGACUUGAUAGUGAAAUGUCAUUUUAUUAUGGAACAGGAUAUUGUCUCUUAGAUCCAUCUGUAGUUUCUCACCUAAACCACCACCCUGUAAUGCUCAUCUAACAGUCACUAAGUCGCACAAGUCAUGCAGUAAUUGUAUUUUGGUUCUGAAAUUAGACUAGGACAGAAAUUUGACUUUGAUAUAAACAAGAAAGUUUUAUUAAGUUUAUUUACUUAGAUAGAAUAACAAGACAAUGGACAAACAGAGAGAAAAGGAUGUGUUACUCUCAUAAACAUCUAGGAUGUGCAUUCACCAGCUAUAGUAUAUCCAAUCAUUUCAGUAGCUAAUAGCAGAACAUUGCUGGCAUAAACAUCUCAAGUAAAUCCAACAAGAUUAUAAUUUAUGUGCAUAAACAUCUCAAGUAAUGUCCAUAGCAGAACAAAUCUAGAAUCUAAAAUAAUUCCAACAAGGUAUAAAUCUCAAAUCCCUACUACUAUUUUGAGACUCGAGUAAUUUCAAACUGAAAAUAUUACAUAUUCAAUUAUUACCUGAAAUCAACAUCAUUCUUGGUGGAAUCAAUGAGGAAGUGACGUUCUCAAUGGAAUCAAUGAGAGGAACAGCACAAUAAUCUGCUUGAAGAGAAGGAAGAAAAUAAUAUCCUAGGUUAAUUAAACAAUAAUCAAUCAAAAUUGAUGAGGAAGUGUACUGACCGACAUAAAAUUAUCACAUGGCCACGAUUGAGAAUAAAAUGAAAAUUAUUUGUGCGUCCUUUGUUUUCUGAAUGGGAACAAAGAUGAGACUUAGAAUCAAUUAAAUCAAACCCAAAAUUGAUUAAAAGAACAAUUUAUUCAAGCAUAACAAUAAAAUUAUCUAAACUAGAACGAAAGAAGUGAAAAAAAUAUCAAAAUCAAAGGAAAAAAAAAACACCUGACAUUUGCGAAGCAAAUGAGGCCGAAGAAUGUUGAAAUUCUUCAUCAUAAACAAAAAUGAAAGAGAGAAGUUAAAAAAGUUAUCAAUUUGACUAAAUAGUGAAAUCACCAGGCUACAUUGCUAUUGUUGUCUAAAAUUGAAACACUAGGGUGAAUUUACAGCCUCAAUAAAAAAAAAAUCAUUAAUUAAAGGCAUUACGAGUGACGAAAUCAAACUUAGGGCAUUGAAUAGAGAGAAAUCACGUGAAAGAGAGUAAGAGUGAAAUAAUUAGCUUAGUUCUUCUUCACGCAAUCGAGAAGUGAGAAUAAACAAUGGAGACCAGUCUUAAUUCUAUUAGAGAGCGUUUAAUUCAGAAGAUGGAGGCUUGGAGUUAUGAUUUUGGAAGCUUUGAUCGGAGAUGAGAAAUGGCGGCUGCGAGCUUAUUGAAUCGUCGAUCUCUGAGGAAUGUUUGCUUUUUGCUAUUUCCAGUGGAAUGUCACUUAAUAAUCAAAACAGGGCUUUUUUUUUUUAAUUUAAAUACCGAACGCUUUAAGGUUUAUGCUCAGUUUUUUUUAAAAAAGGCCAAUAUAUAUUAUUUUAUUUCUUUUUUUGGGAA